rnacentral:rRNA from 1 species
UGCAGUCGAGGGGUAACAGGAAAGCUUGCUUUCGCUGACGACCGGCGCACGGGUGCGUAACGCGUAUGCAACCUACCUCAUACUGGAGGAUAGCCCCUGGAAACGGGGAUUAAUACUCCAUAGUAUCACGAAUUCGCAUGUUUUUGUGAUUAAAGUUUUUCGGUAUGAGAUGGGCAUGCGUCCCAUUAGCUUGUUGGUGAGGUAACGGCUCACCAAGGCAACGAUGGGUAGGGGGCCUGAGAGGGUGGUCCCCCACACUGGUACUGAGACACGGACCAGACUCCUACGGGAGGCAGCAGUGAGGAAUAUUGGUCAAUGGAGGCAACUCUGAACCAGCCAUGCCGCGUGAAGGAUGACGGCCCUAUGGGUUGUAAACUUCUUUUAUAGAGGAAGAAACUUGUCUACGUGUAGACAACUGACGGUACUCUACGAAUAAGGAUCGGCUAACUCCGUGCCAGCAGCCGCGGUAAUACGGAGGAUCCAAGCGUUAUCCGGAUUCAUUGGGUUUAAAGGGUCCGUA